UACGGAGGAUCCGAGCGUUAUCCGGAUUUAUUGGGUUUAAAGGGUGCGCAGGCGGGAGAUUAAGUCGGCGGUGAAAUUUUGCAGCUCAACUGUAAAAGUGCCUUCGAAACUGGUUUCCUUGAGUGUAGAUGAAGUAGGCGGAAUUUGUGGUGUAGCGGUGAAAUGCAUAGAUAUCACGAGGAACUCCGAUUGCGAAGGCAGCUUACUAAGCUACUACUGACGCUCAGGCACGAAGGCGUGGGGAUCAAACAGGAUUAGAUACCCGGGUAGUCCCU
rnacentral:rRNA from 1 species